AAAAAACAACAAAAAAACAAAUACCCCAAACAAGUGAAAGCACAGGCAGAAAAUGGCAAAAAUUCUUUAACUGAGUCCAAAAACCUUGCUUUCUGAAAAAUUAAAAAGAAGAAAAGAAACUCAAAUUAUCUCUACUAUGUGCCUGGCACAAAAACUGAGGGUACAAGCCAGCCCAGCAAGUCUCCUGUUUGUAAAUUAUUUAAUGUAUGGGACAGAAAUCAGAAAAUAAUGUUGCCUGAGACAAGAUGAAAGAAACGCCACAUCUCAAAGUUUGAACAUAUUCUGCACUGUUUGGGCUCAGUGCUCUCCCACUGGAUGAGAGGAGCUCCUGUAGACUUAGCUUCAGUGGAAAAUAACUGCAUCCCACACAAGCUGUGCAAUUUCCUGGCUGAUUAAGAAUGGAAAAUUGCAUUUUUUCCUGGUCACCUGAAAUUUGGAGCCUGGCUUGAUCUUCCUGCAGAAAACACGUCUGGAGGUCCUCCCUGUGCAAACCCUAACCCUUCUGCAUCUGGGCUGAGUCGCCAGCAGAAGGUGUCUUAUUUAUUAAUAAAGAAGCCAGGAAAUUGGAUCAGUGCCAGGAGAGAACCUGGCUGGAGUUAUUGCAGAAUAACUGGCCAAAGUUAUCAGAACCAGUCUGCAUCACUCCUGGAGAAGGAUUGGGGAAGGAAAUAGUUUACAUUGCCAAAUCCCCAGCUUCUGGAUGAAGAACUUCAGGAUAGUGAGAACCUCACUGCAAAACAAUGGCAGUAUGUGACAAAGAGAAGCAGAACCUCAGUACUGACUCAGCAAGCUUUUGUUAUCCUCAAUGCUGAGAUCUAGCUUGAUUUCAAGCUGGAAAGACAAGAUCAUAAAACUGGGAUGGUAGAAGGAGCCCUCAUUUCCUUUUCUUGAGGGACAGCUAGCUGAUGGAUGGCUGCUGAAUUUGCCUGUUCCAGAAAGGUGGAGAUCCCGCACUUAUGGACACGGCUAAGUGGGUACGGUGGGGAUGGAUUGACAUUUGGACUAGGUGACCUUACAGGUCUUUUCCCCACAGGCACAAACAAAUGCUAUUUAUAACUCACCUAUUAUCGUUUUAAGAAUAGACCCUUAUGUACCUCACCCACCUUUGCCAUUUUUUUCCACUGUGCCCAACAAAGAGCAUGACAACAGUGUGGGAAUACUGCGAAACAAAUACAGGCGUUCUUGUGUUGAGUGAGGCCUGGGUGGAAAGCUCACAGGAGAUCCUGAACAGAUGAUGUUUUCUAAGUUCACUUUGACAUAUCUGAGAAGUUUGGUUGAGAUCUGCAAAUCUCUUGCCUUUAUUCAAACUGCGCUUGAGCUGUAUAUUAAUAGUAUUUGUAGCUUCUAUUAAAACGAAACAAAAC
ensembl:lncRNA